rnacentral:snRNA from 1 species
GGAUGUGGGCGAUCAGCUGUCAUAUCUGUUAUUUCAUUGAUUGCCAGGGUUGAUUUGGCUAAUCUGGCUGGCUAGGCAGGUGUCCCCUUCCUCCCUCACAGUUCCAUAUGCAUCCCUCUCAAAGUCCACUGGGUGGAAGAGGACAAUCAUCCCCAGUAGAGGAGGGUUGAUCUUUGGUCAAGGAUGUACAGGUAGUUGUGCUCCUCUACCAGAACCCCCAAACAAGCUCUCAAGGUUCAAAAAGGUAUAUUCUCUUGAACUGGCAAAUGGAAUCCCUAGGUCUACUUUCCUUAUUUUACCUUCUAAAACACAACGUUUAUUA